rnacentral:rRNA from 1 species
GACGAACGCUGGCGGCGUGCUUAACACAUGCAAGUCGAGCGGAAAGGCCCUUCGGGGUCCUCGAGCGGCGAACGGGUGAGUAACACGGGAGCAACCUGCCCCCGACCUUGGGAUACCCGCGGAACUUGGGGCAAACACCGGUAAUGCCACAUAAUCUCUUGGGGCCCGUGGGGCAAGAUUUGAGGUUUGAGUUGGGGUCCCGGCCUGAUCGCUUGUUGGUGGGGUAGUGGGUUCCGAAGGGCACGGCGGGUAGCCGGCCUGAGAGGGCGACCGGCCACCCGGGGCCUGCGAGACGGCCCAGUCUCCUACGGGCGGCAGCAGUGGGGAAUAUUGCGCAAUGGGCGGACGCCUGAUGCGGCGGCGCCGCGUGCGGAAUGCCGGCCUUCGGGUUGUAAACCUCUUUCAGCAGGGACGAAGCGUAAGUGACGGUACCUGCAGAAGAAGCGCCGGCCAACUACGUG